rnacentral:rRNA from 1 species
UACGUAGGGGGCAAGCGUUGUCCGGAUUUAUUGGGCGUAAAGAGCGUGUAGGCGGCUUCACAGGUCCGCUGUGAAAACUCGAGGCUCAACCUCGAGCUGUCGGUGGAAACCGUGUGGCUAGAGUCCGGAAGAGGAGAGUGGAAUUCCCGGUGUAGAGGUGAAAUUCGUAGAUAUUCGCAAGAACACCAGUGGCGAAGGCGGCUCACUGGCCCGGAACUGACGCUGAGGACGAA